AGUAGUUUGAUCAUGGCUCAGAACGAACGCUGGCGGCAUGCCUAACACAUGCAAGUCGAACGAGACCUUCGGGUCUAGUGGCGCACGGGUGCGUAACGCGUGGGAACCUGCCUUAGGUUCGGAAUAACUCAGAGAAAUUUGAGCUAAUACCGGAUAAUGUCUUCGGACCAAAGAUUUAUCGCCUUUAGAUGGGCCCGCGUUGGAUUAGCUAGUUGGUGGGGUAAAGGCCUACCAAGGCGACGAUCCAUAGCUGGUCUGAGAGGAUGAUCAGCCACACUGGGACUGAGACACGGCCCAGACUCCUACGGGAGGCAGCAGUGGGGAAUAUUGGACAAUGGGCGAAAGCCUGAUCCAGCAAUGCCGCGUGAGUGAUGAAGGCCUUAGGGUUGUAAAGCUCUUUUACCCGAGAUGAUAAUGACAGUAUCGGGAGAAUAAGCUCCGGCUAACUCCGUG
rnacentral:rRNA from 1 species